GCUCCCUCUCAGAAUAGCAUUUAGUUCUGACAAUUGAAGAAGCUAGAGAAUUUCAAUUAAGCCAUAGUCUUAACACCUACCAGCACCUUCAGGUUCCCAAGUAUCGCCAGCCUGCGGGAGAAGAUGCUGACUUCUGGCCAUGUUUCAUGGUAGCACAUGUAUCCAACUUGCAAGUGAGAGAAAAAGGUUCCACCUUGGAUGAUGCCUAAACUCUCCCUCUGCCCCACUCCACCUCACUCUCACUCAAAAGAGCAUCAAUGGAAAUAUCACCAUCAGCACCAAGGACAGCAGCCCUGGUCGCCAUAAGUGUCCGUGAUCAUUGAAAACUGGAUCUAUUGAUGAUACACAUUUCAGGAGCUCAUUUGAAUUCAGAUUAGAAAUCCUUAGAGCCUAGCUCAAAGUUGUAAUCAUCUGCUCUACAGUACUACUUAUCUUAUUCAUAUUAUUAUCUUUGGAGUAAAUCAUUGGCAAAACCGAGGAUCAGAAACUACCAGGUCUUGAAAGACCAUAAGUCUUCAAUCUAGCCUAUUCUUAAAGACACAUUUACUAUUCAAUCAGAUUCCCAUUAAUCAUUUGUCAUACGAAAAAUGCCAAAAUUAAAAUUUUACAGCCUAGUUCUUGACCUCAAUAUUUUACCAUGUCUCUGUAAUAAUUUGGCAAUAGUACAUCAACUCAUGGGAUUGGUUUCUUUUUUCAAUAAAACUAUGACCAAUAAAUUCACACUUCAUAUGC